CAUGUAGCCGGGUACUAUCUGAAUCCUCAAAUACGGUACUCAGAUAAGUUCUCUACACACCCUGAGAUAAAAAGGGGGUUGUUUGAGUGCAUGGAUAGGAUGAUCCCCCGUGAAGAGCAUGCUAAUGCUGAUAUUCAGUUGGAUGAAUAUGACAAGAGAAGAGGGGAUUUUGGCUCUCGCCUUGCACUCGAAACUAUGACAAAGCGUUCCCUAGGUAAUUUAUAAUUUUAUAUUUUGAUAUUUUCAUUGUUAUUUAAAUUAUAUUUUUAUAAUUGGUGAAAGUAUUUAAUUAAUUUAUAAAUUAUAACUAAUUUAUGUAGCUGAUUGGUGGGAACGCUUUGGAGAUAGAACUCCACAGCUUACAAAGUUUGCAGUACGAGUUUUAAGCCUCACAUGCAGUGCUUCUGGCUAUGAGAGAAAUUGGAGUACUUUUGAGCAGAUCCACACAAAGAAGAGAAAUCGGCUAGAGCAACAAAAACUCAACUCUCUAGUGUAUGUGAUGUAUAAUAUGAAAUUGAGAGAAAGAAGCAUGAAGAGAAGGGCGGCAAUGGAUCCAAUAUUGGUGGACCACAUUGAAUCAGAUGAUGAAUGGAUUGCUGAGAAAGAAGGCCCUGUUCUCCCAACUGAUCCAUCGUGGCUCGAAGAUCAAAAUAUGGCCUUUGAUAUUAGUGCCAUUACAACUAUUCCGGAGUCUGAUGAUCCAGUUGACAGCAAUGCACCAUCAACA